rnacentral:rRNA from 1 species
UACGUAGGGGUCGAGCGUUGUCCGGAGUACUGGGCGUAAAGCGUGCGCAGGCGGCUCAUUGCGCCCGGCGUGAAAGCCCCCGGCUCAACCGGGGAGGGUCGUCGGGGACGGGUGAGCUUGAGGGUAUCAGGGGUUGGUGGAAUUCCCGGUGUAGUGGUGAAAUGCGUAGAGAUCGGGAGGAACACCCGUGGCGAAGGCGGGUCUCUGGGCCGAUACUGACGCUGAGGAGCGAAAGCGUGGGGAGCGAACAGG